rnacentral:lncRNA from 1 species
GCUUUUUCUUUGUUUUCUAUUCCAGUUCCUAGGUUUGAGCUCAGGUCCUGUGCUUGUACAAGAAUCACUUUACUGACUGAAGUGUUACUCUGCCCAGUUACUGAGUUCUUACAAGAAAAACUAGGGCACUGAACAAGAACUGGACUCUGAAACUUGGAAUGGGCACAUCUGAAUGGGCUGAGGUGAGGACCCCUACUCCUUCAAGUGCAUUUGGGGACACUAGCCUUUCUCGCUUGAAAAUGCCAUGGUCAGUCAGUGCUAAAAGACCUGACUUUAGGCCCUUAGCAGGUAAGUUUUUGGGGAUCCCUGAGUAUGAAUGAAGACCAAGUUGGGCCCUCAAGGCUGUGGGUCACACACUGUGACACCUCCAGGAGUUCUGGGAUGGCAAGUGGGAGCAGAGACUAGGGUCAUAGCCAACUGGGCACACAGAUCUCCUGAUGACGACUCUGUUGUAUCCGAUGACUCUGCUGGAAGUGACCCACAGUUUGCUUUGUGAAAGCUGCACUCCAUGGUCGACAAUACACUAGAGACACUGGGACUACGCAAAAGCUGGACACCUGCCCUUGGGACACACAGCUUGGGUUGUUUCCACUCCAGCCAAGCAUGGAAGGAGGAACUGGAUGGUUGUGGGUAGGCUUUGGGGGGCUGCAAGGAGGUAGAUGCGUUUGCAGAGUGUGAGCUCUAGAUGGCGGGGGCCAGCAGCCCUGGACAUGUCCUGUAGGCAUAUACCUCAGCUUGGGUGAAUGCACAGCUUCUAGAACCCUCCACCACAGUCUCCAGGCUGCUGGGUACCUGGUCUAGCCUGGGAUUCUUCCAUGAGACAGUGUGUAGGCUGAGGGGCCUGGCCAGCUAAGACUCAUCCCCAUCUUCAGGGAUUAGAGGUCUGUGGUCAGGACAGAGGUGGUGGUGAAGAGACAGUGCACUUCACUGCGACAAAAUCCUACAGGCUGGGAACCUUAUCAAGUGAGAUUUAUUUCUCAUGGCUGUGGAAGGAGAACUCCAAGGAGGAGCCCUGGUAGGUAUGUGGGGACAGGCCUGCAGCCUGGUUUGUAGGUGGCACUCCCCGACUCAGUACUCAUACAUGGGUGGGCUGAAGUGCCUUCAAAGCCACAGACCCCAAUCUUUAGGGCUCCAUCAUCACAACCUAACUCCUCCCCACCCACAAGACCCACAUUCUGGCAACACCCCAUCAGUGGUGGGGUCUCAAUGCAUGGAUUUCUGGGAACCCAUUCAGACCACAGCAAGGUGCCAGAUCAGUGGCAGAGAGAGAGCGAGCUAAGACCUCAGGAGACCAUGAGGUGCUGAGUGAUGCCCCUGGUAGCCGGGAGGAGCUCUGCCAGAUCUGAGUUCCUUCAUGUUUAGAAUGUAAAGGCUGAGGUGUUCUGGAGGGAAUGGGCAUGACAGGGUACCUUAGGCUGAAAGCCAGCAAAGGCACAGGAUGCGAGGGCACACCCAGGUGACAACUGCUUGACCUUGGUGCUGCUGGAUGAACGCAGGUGUCUGCAGUGCCAAGGGACACCCAGGUGGAGAGAUGGACAUGAGGUGGGUGAAAGGGUAACCCGGUGGAGAUGUGCACCAGACUAUCCUAGAGAUCAUGGUGGGGAAGGGUGGCAGGAACCAGGGUGUGCCUCACAGAAGAGCCUUUCUGGGACCUCCUAUGGAACACACGGAGGCAUAGCUUGGCAGGUCUCAGGUAUUACAGCAGUAGGGAGGAGGGCUCCCGGACCAUGAAAGGAUGUCAGGGCAGGUGAGGCUUUCAUAAGAAGGGAUUGCUAAUCCUAUCCAGUCACUUCAUCACUGCCUGGGGGUGGGCAGGCUCAGGAAUCCUGUAUCUGAGUUGGGGGGUUGGUUUGUGUAGGUCAGACGGUGGCUUUCAACGGUGCUAAAAGGACUGCAGGAGGAAGGUGCGGAGAAGGCAGCCCAGGGCAAAGGGAAGUCUCAGACCCCACUCUCCUCACAGUAGAAGCUAAGGAAGAGGUUUGCCAUGUCAUGCCAAGCAGUCCUGUCCAUUGUGAGUGCAUGAAGUGCUCCAGCCUGGCCCCUGUGACAGCUUUGGUGACAGCUUUGGUGAUGGUGGUAGUGAAGGUGACAGGCUGGAGCCCACUGGCAGAGAUCGAGACUGGAUGGGAAGUUUGCCCACAUAAAGCUGUCUCAGCUCAGAUGCACCAAAUCACACGCUGACACUUUGGACAGUAGGCUGAGUGGAAGCCUGAGGUCUCUCGGCCUUAUGAGGGAAGGGGCUGCCUGGGCUGUGCUUGCUGGCAUGGGCACUGGGUCCCUGGAGGAGUCAAGCAGGUUAGUGUAGUCUGCAGCCAGAGGUGGCCACCUUGCGAGUUCUCAGCUUCAGUUUCUUUAGCCCACUGUGGCUGGGGUCCACUAGGAGUCCAUUCUGGACUGCUGUCCAGGCCUCCUCAAAGUGCUCCUCCUCUAGACAGCGCUGGCCAUGGAUCAGGAACACACUGGCUGUCAUGGCCUGGCCUGGUUGCUCCAACAGGCUGUUUUGAGCCUGGGCUGGUGCCAGGGCCAAAGCCUGGGUAAAGGCCCCUGCGGCUCCAUCCUUAUCCCCCAGGCUCAGAAGCAGUCGACCCCGGGUGCAGAAAUCUUCCGACUGUCUUGGCAGGUCGCUGUCCUCUGCAGGGUGCUGCAGCACCCGGUCCAGGUCCCUGAGUGCCCUGUCAUACUCCUGCAGCUGGGUCAAGCAGGCCACCCGGAGACGCAGAUGGUAAGGAUUGUUGCCCCCAGCCAGGAUGGCCAAAGAACAGUAGCUUAGUGCCUGCCCCGGAUUCCCUAAAUCCAAGAUGUUGCUUGCUUCCUUGGCAGCGGUCUGUGAAGGGGACACAGGGAAAAAGAGCGCAGAGUGAAGUCUGUGGACAUAGUCAGCCUCUGCUGGUGUCUGGUCCUCGCCCUGUGCAGAAGACACCCACACUCUGGAGGCCUGGUCAUGGGUAGGGGUAAGGGACUGGUUUCCUCCUGUGACUGAGGGCUGCGGCUGGCCCAGCAUGUCCACCUCCCCAUAGUCCCUGAAGGCAACGUUGUUUCCCGAGCAGAGGCAGGUUUGCACCCGAAGUUGCUAAGCAUCUUCAUCUCCCCUCCCUGAUCCUGUUUCUCUAGGCCACUAUGAAGGCAGGCAACUUCAUCUCAUCAUAAAUUCGUUAGACUCACAGAAUUCCUCCUCUGCUCAAUAACCUACAACGGUUCCACAGAACCUGAGAUGGGCCUCUGGGUCCCUCCCUCCCCCUUUUAACUGCAUCCAGUCUCACAGCAUACAACACCAUAAACUCUAAAGCCUUCAGAGGCAGGUAAAGCUCCGAGCAUCCCGGGCCGAGUCACUCCUAUAGGGGAUAAACACCACAGAUGUUUUUGCUAGGAGGGCUGAAGGGUUCUGGGGGCCUAUAGGGAGAGGACCUGCUUUCCAGCAUGGAUUGCAGUGCCAUCUCCCGACACUAGACUGAAGGCUCGCACAUGAGCACCCGCUUUUCUUGUUCCCUGCUGUGUGACCCUGCCAGAGCCUCUUGCCCUCCUUGCUGCAUGGUCCACGUGGCUGCUGGAUACAGAUAGAAGGGAUUCAAAAGC